rnacentral:rRNA from 1 species
CCUACGGGAGGCAGCAGUGGGGAAUCUUGCGCAAUGGGCGAAAGCCUGACGCAGCAACGCCGCGUGCGGGAAGAAGGCCUUCGGGUUGUAAACCGCUUUCAGAAGGAACGAAACUGACGGUACUUUCAGAAGAAGGUGCGGCCAACUACGUGCCAGCAGCCGCGGUGACACGUAGGCACCAAGCGUUGUCCGGAUUUAUUGGGCGUAAAGAGCUCGUAGGCGGUUCGGUAAGUCGGGUGUGAAAACUUUGGGCUCAACCCAAAGCGUGCAUUCGAUACUGCCGUGACUAGAGUUCGGUAGGGGAGUGGGGAAUUCCUAGUGUAGCGGUGAAAUGCGCAGAUAUUAGGAGGAACACCGGUGGCGAAGGCGCCACUCUGGGCCGAAACUGACGCUGAGGAGCGAAAGCGUGGGUAGCAAACAGGAUUAGAUACCCUGGUAGUCCACGCCGUAAACGUUGGGCACUAGGUGUGGGUCUCAACCAACGAGAUCCGCGCCGUCGCAAACGCAUUAAGUGCCCCGCCUGGGGAGUACGGCCGCAAGGUUAAAACUCAAAUGAAUUGACGG